rnacentral:rRNA from 1 species
UACGAAGGGGGCUAGCGUUGCUCGGAAUCACUGGGCGUAAAGGGUGCGUAGGCGGAUCUUUAAGUCAGAGGUGAAAUCCCAAGGCUCAACCUUGGAACUGCCUUUGAUACUGGGGAUCUUGAGUCCGGGGAGAGGUGAGUGGAACUGCGAGUGUAGAGGUGAAAUUCGUAGAUAUCGCAAGAACACCAGUGGCGAAGGCGGCUCACUGGCCCGGUACUGACGCUGAGGUGCGAAAGCGUGGGGAGCAAACAGG